GGGGGGAGGCCGGAUCCUGGGCUGUGUCCCGGCGCCCUGUGCCCGGGGCCCGCGCUGUCGGAUUCGCGCUCCCGCCCCGCAGCCCCCU
rfam:Canis lupus familiaris chromosome 1, whole genome shotgun sequence.